CUCUAGAAAUUGCCACAAGCUCUUUGUAAGAUGUAGCUCAUGACGUGUGACAGUGUGGGCUGUGCAUCAGCCACCACUGGAGGAGCACUGGGGUGUUCCUCCCUGGUUCUUGCCAUGGGGACACAGUGGGCUGCAAGAAGCUCAGGAGGACUUGGCCCUGAAAGAGGUUGUGCAGGAAAAUCUGCCAGAAAUAUUUGCUUUGGUACUCUUCUUCCACUGCUUUGGGGUUUUUAUAGAAGGGGGAAGAGGAGAGAAAAAAAAAUUAGCAAGUUGGAAGUUUUCCAACUUUUGUGAUGCAAAACCCUAAAUCAAAAGGAAGAAGAAAAAAAGAUUUGUCAGAUGCUUCUCAUCAAAUCUUCAUUUUUUUUGGAUCAAGGAAAAGUGAUUAGAGAGUUAUUUCCAGCUCUAGUAGUAAGGUCAAGGGGGUUACUUGUUUUUAAAGAGCUCUAGUCUCCCCAGCAUCCCUGGAGGAUCCCGGUGUGAGCAUGCGCAGGUGCACCCCAAAAAGCAUUGCCCCAACCCCACAGAGCAGCAGUGCAGCCCCCCUUCCCCUCAAAUCAGAGCCAGUCCCCCCCAGCUGUAGGGAUAAGGACUAUACAGAACUCUGGCGAUAUCUGCACUUAUUUAUUUUCUGUAACUCCUGGUCGAUAGGAGGAAAUAAAUGAUCCCAGCUGACAGUGGUGCAGGAGAGCUGCUCCGUGGGGAUCAGCUGCUGCACAGCUCAGUGCAGCCCCCACACAGGCCUUCCUUGCCCGUUCCUGCCUGACUUGGGACUCCAGUUCUGCUGGCAAGGAUGCUGGCGUGCGUCAUCACCCGUCCCCAAGCUGGAGCCUCCCUCGGAGGUGCCGGCACACGCCGUGUAAAUAAGAGGGACGUGUGAAUAAAAGCUCACUUAGCAAGGCUGGAAACUUUGCUUCAUGCCAGGAGGGAAUCUUCACUGGUUUUGUACCAAUUUGCCCCGGCCAAGUGCUGGAAAUAUCAAAUCCUAUUUUUAUUGCUCUGUGGUAAAACAUGAAGUAGCCACAGGGAAACAUGCCAUGCUCAGCUCUCAGAUCUCAGAAUGAGCUCCCCAGGGAAGGCGUCAGAGCAGGCUGAGAUGGUUUCUAGCUGGUCUAGGGACCACAGCCUAAGAGAAAAGGUGGCCAAAGUGGGUUUAUCCAUAAUAUCCAUCCCCGUGAUGGUGAGCCAGAUGUUUCCUGCCUUAGCUGUGGUGGGAGAGGGGAUUUGGAGGGGAAGGACAGUAUGGGAAGCCCCUCCUGGUGAAGGCACAUGGAGAUGCCCCCCAGGGUGGUAAUGGCAAGGGGCUGGUUAGUGGUUGUGGAAGCAUUUAAUGUCUAGGAUGGUUUGAUGGAAAAGACAGUGCUCUGCCUGGUGUGUCCCACCCCCAAAAAAAUCCCCUCUGUGCUUUGAAUUAAAGGAAGGAUACUCCCAUGUCCUCCUGAUUUACACCAGGAAAGCUUCAGGGAGGGUGGUGCAAAACCAUCCCCACCAGUCUGUGGUGGUGUGCAGUGGUGAUGGAUGAGGCACUUGUGGAAAAGAAUCUCCUUGCACCACGUAAAAUCCCCUUGAACAUUGCCUGUAAGACCCAAGCUGGUACAGAUCUGUGUGGAGGGAGGGGGGAGAGGGACACACCAGGGAGCAGCCCCUGCCCAGCCCCACCUCAGCUGGAGGUGGGUCAGGAGCAACUCCAAACCCAUGGAUGAUGAUGGGGGAUGAAGAGAUAGGGUGUGCCAAGCCUGUUUGUGAGGCAACAGGCAGAGUCCCAGUGCACCAGAUAUUUAAACAAGGUGUUUUGCUGUCACAGCCAUAUUUAAUGCUACAAGCAGUGUGUUUCCAUGGGCAGGCUUUAGAAGGAUGCUGUUCAAGGAUGCUUUUCCCUCCCUUGGCUUCUCAGCUGAGAUCAGAGUGUUGCUUUCCUCCUUGCUGUGUGGGAAAGGGAUCAAAUUGCCGAGGGCUUAGCUUAUGGUCAGUAUCUAAACCAUCCACGAGGUUUCCUGCCAGACCCUGGCUCCCACCAUUCUUUCCUGGACACAGCAGCUGCUCCUGGGUCAGCACAGCAGCAGGACCCGUGGCUGCAGGCAGCAUGGACCUGGGGGGGUUUCAUCUCAAGCUUUGAGGAUUCCUUUGGUCUCCAGGCCACAUCAAUUUUUAAUUGUACCAGCAGAUAGUCCUGGGGAGGGGAGCAAAGUGCAGGUCUGCUUCAGGCAGACUCUGCACCCCAUCUGCCUGCUUCCCCUCAGCCCAGCUGUGGUUGCAGGCAGGGAGGAUUAGGGGCAGCCAAAUGCCUCGGCUGCUCAGCCAGCACCCACACAUGGCAGCACACAAGCAGCUCUGUGAGCCCCUGGCAUCGGGUCCUGCCACCUUUUGGGGGUGACAGAUGCCCCCUCCAGCACUUGAGGCACAGAGUGAGGAAACAGCCUGGCAAUGGGACAGGUUUGGGCCAGGAUUUGGUCACAUCCAGGCGUGGGGGACUCCACGUGCCAGGGGCAGGAGGCAGUGACUGGGCUGCCAUGUGGCUGCCUGCCAGGCUGGGAGAAACCAGGGUGACACGUGAAAAAGAGUGUGGGGGAGCAAAAACCCUGCCUGCUGCUCCUGCCCUGGCACCCCAGCCUGGUGAUGCGAAAGUCUCAGCUUUUGUUACAAAUUCACAGGGCCCCAGCCUCGAGGGCUGAGCGAGAAGCUGAGAAAGUGUAAUCAAAGGGCACCCUUAAGGUUUUAAAAAUAGAA
ensembl:lncRNA